AAGACAUGUACGCAUACAACAUCGAUUGAAAAAGCUUGAUAAGGAUUCUGAUAAAAAUAGGGAUCUUUUAGGGGCAUAUUGGGAUAAGCUCUCCGUAGAAGAGGCCAAGGAAGUUGUGUCAUUCAAGAAUGUGAUGUUAGAGGUAAUAUCUCUUUUGCUCCUUAUGUG